rnacentral:rRNA from 1 species
UACAGAGGGGGCGAGCGUUGUUCGGAAUUACUGGGCGUAAAGGGCGCGUAGGCGGCCCGCUAAGUCGAACGUGAAAUCCCCAGGCUCAACCUGGGAACUGCGUCCGAUACUGGCAGGCUUGAAUCCGGGAGAGGGAUGUGGAAUUCCAGGUGUAGCGGUGAAAUGCGUUGAUAUCGGGAGGAAUACCCGUGGCGAAGGCGGUCCACUGGGCAUCAACUGACGCUGAGGCGCGAAAGCGUGGGUAGCAAACAGG